rnacentral:rRNA from 1 species
AACGCUUCUUUUCCCACCGGAGCUUGCUCCACCGGGAAAAGAGGAGUGGCGAACGGGUGAGUAACACGUGGGUAACCUGCCCAUCAGAAGGGGAUAACACUUGGAAACAGGUGCUAAUACCGUAUAACAAUCGAAACCGCAUGGUUUCGUUUUGAAAGGCGCUUUACGGUGCCGCUGAUGGAUGGACCCGCGGUGCAUUAGCUAGUUGGUGAGGUAACGGCUCACCAAGGCCACGAUGCAUAGCCGACCUGAGAGGGUGAUCGGCCACAUUGGGACUGAGACACGGCCCAAACUCCUACGGGAGGCAGCAGUAGGGAAUCUUCGGCAAUGGACGAAAGUCUGACCGAGCAACGCCGCGUGAGUGAAGAAGGUUUUCGGAUCGUAAAACUCUGUUGUUAGAGAAGAACAAGGGUGAGAGUAACUGUUCACCCCUUGACGGUAUCUAACCAGAAAGCCACGGCUAACUACGUGCCAGCAGCCGCGGUAAUACGUAGGUGGCAAGCGUUGUCCGGAUUUAUUGGGCGUAAAGCGAGCGCAGGCGGUUUCUUAAGUCUGAUGUGAAAGCCCCCGGCUCAACCGGGGAGGGUCAUUGGAAACUGGGAGACUUGAGUGCAGAAGAGGAGAGUGGAAUUCCAUGUGUAGCGGUGAAAUGCGUAGAUAUAUGGAGGAACACCAGUGGCGAAGGCGGCUCUCUGGUCUGUAACUGACGCUGAGGCUCGAAAGCGUGGGGAGCAAACAGGAUUAGAUACCCUGGUAGUCCACGCCGUAAACGAUGAGUGCUAAGUGUUGGAGGGUUUCCGCCCUUCAGUGCUGCAGCUAACGCAUUAAGCACUCCGCCUGGGGGAGUACGACCGCAAGGUUGAAACUCAAAGGAAUUGACGGGGGCCCGCACAAGCGGUGGAGCAUGUGGUUUAAUUCGAAGCAACGCGAAGAACCUUACCAGGUCUUGACAUCCUUUGACCACUCUAGAGAUAGAGCUUCCCCUUCGGGGGCAAAGUGACAGGUGGUGCAUGGUUGUCGUCAGCUCGUGUCGUGAGAUGUUGGGUUAAGUCCCGCAACGAGCGCAACCCUUAUUGUUAGUUGCCAUCAUUUAGUUGGGCACUCUAGCAAGACUGCCGGUGACAAACCGGAGGAAGGUGGGGAUGACGUCAAAUCAUCAUGCCCCUUAUGACCUGGGCUACACACGUGCUACAAUGGGAAGUACAACGAGUCGCGAAGUCGCGAGGCUAAGCUAAUCUCUUAAAGCUUCUCUCAGUUCGGAUUGUAGGCUGCAACUCGCCUACAUGAAGCCGGAAUCGCUAGUAAUCGCGGAUCAGCACGCCGCGGUGAAUACGUUCCCGGGCCUUGUACACACCGCCCGUCACACCACGAGAGUUUGUAACACCCGAAGUCGGUGAGGUAACCUUUUGGAGCCAGCCGCCU